rnacentral:tRNA from 8 species
CUUAGCUCAGUUGGAUAGAGCAACGGCCUUCUAAGCCGUGGGUCGCAGGUUCGAAUCCUGCAG